GAUGAACGCUGGCGGCGUGCCUAAUACAUGCAAGUCGAGCGAACGGACGAGAAGCUUGCUUCUCUGAUGUUAGCGGCGGACGGGUGAGUAACACGUGGAUAACCUACCUAUAAGACUGGGAUAACUUCGGGAAACCGGAGCUAAUACCGGAUAAUAUUUUGAACCGCAUGGUUCAAAAGUGAAAGACGGUCUUGCUGUCACUUAUAGAUGGAUCCGCGCUGCAUUAGCUAGUUGGUAAGGUAACGGCUUACCAAGGCAACGAUGCAUAGCCGACCUGAGGGGGUGAUCGGCCACACUGGAACUGAGACACGGUCCAGACUCCUACGGGAGGCAGCAGUAGGGAAUCUUCCGCAAUGGGCGAAAGUCUGACGGAGCAACGCCGCGUGAGUGAUGAAGGUCUUCGGAUCGUAAAACUCUGUUAUUAGGGAAGAACAUAUGUGUAAGUAACUGUGCACAUCUUGACGGUACCUAAUCAGAAAGCCACGGCUAACUACGUG
rnacentral:rRNA from 1 species